CCACACGCCCCGGCCCAGACUUGGCACAUCCAGAAGCUUCAGUGUGGAACAGCUGCAGCCCUCAGCACUGGCUCCGCAGACCAGCGCGGUGAAAAGAGCCCCAUCAUUACAGCAUCUGGUGUCACCCUCCCAUCAGCAUCGGAGAACAACUUCCUUCCAGAACCUCCAUUCUCUGCUAGGUGGCAAGGGAGACCGGUCUAGCCUUUACCUGGUAGAAGGGUCAGGGGACAGCAGUGCACCCAGCAGGUAAGCGUGGCACAAGUGACCCAAAGAAUAAACUUGGAGUGGUACC
rnacentral:lncRNA from 1 species